AUAACGAGUCGUUGUUUACAAUUGUCUAGCAUUGAAUAAAUUUCUUCUCAGCUUAAUAUCUGAUCUGGUCCCUUUUGGGGGCUAUCGAUAUUAAACUAAUUUUUAUAACAAAGGAAACAGUUAGGCUUGCUUUGCCAUUGUUGCAGGUUAGCCUGGUAUUGCAGGACUUCUGGGAUUCAACCCCUAUUCU